AGAGUUUGAUCCUGGCUCAGGAUGAACGCUGGCGGCGUGCUUAACACAUGCAAGUCGAACGAAGCACUUUAACCUGAUUCUUCGGAUGAAGGUUUUUGUGACUGAGUGGCGGACGGGUGAGUAACGCGUGGGUAACCUGCCUCAUACAGGGGGAUAACAGUUAGAAAUGACUGCUAAUACCGCAUAAGACCACGGAGCUGCAUGGCUCAGUGGGAAAAACUCCGGUGGUAUGAGAUGGACCCGCGUCUGAUUAGGUAGUUGGUGGGGUAACGGCCUACCAAGCCAACGAUCAGUAGCCGACCUGAGAGGGUGACCGGCCACAUUGGGACUGAGACACGGCCCAAACUCCUACGGGAGGCAGCAGUGGGGAAUAUUGCACAAUGGGGGAAACCCUGAUGCAGCGACGCCGCGUGAGCGAAGAAGUAUUUCGGUAUGUAAAGCUCUAUCAGCGGGGAAGAAAAUGACGGUACCUGACUAAGAAGCACCGGCUAAAUACGUGCCAGCAGCCGCGGUAAUACGUAUGGUGCAAGCGUUAUCCGGAUUUACUGGGUGUAAAGGGAGCGUAGACGGCUGUGUAAGUCUGAAGUGAAAGCCCGGGGCUCAACCCCGGGACUGCUUUGGAAACUAUGCAGCUAGAGUGUCGGAGAGGUAAGUGGAAUUCCCAGUGUAGCGGUGAAAUGCGUAGAUAUUGGGAGGAACACCAGUGGCGAAGGCGGGUAACUGGACUGCAACUGACGCUGAGGCGCGAAAGUGUGGGGAGCAAACAGGAUUAGAUACCCUGGUAGUCCACACUGUAAACGAUGAAUGCUAGGUGUAGGGGGUAUCGACCCCUUCUGUGCCGGAGUAAACACAAUAAGCAUUCCGCCUGGGGAGUACGGCCGCAAGGUUGAAACUCAAAGGAAUUGACGGGGGCCCGCACAAGCAGCGGAGCAUGUGGUUUAAUUCGACGCAACGCGAAGAACCUUACCAGGUCUUGACAUCCACUUAAAGCCAUAGAGAUAUGGUGUGAGCUUGCUCAAAGUGAGACAGGUGGUGCAUGGUUGUCGUCAGCUCGUGUCGUGAGAUGUUGGGUUAAGUCCCGCAACGAGCGCAACCCUUGCUGAUAGUUACUAACGUGUAAAGACGAGGACUCUAUCAGGACUGCCGGGGACAACUCGGAGGAAGGUGGGGACGACGUCAAAUCAUCAUGCCCCUUAUGACCUGGGCUACACACGUGCUACAAUGGCCGUUACAGAGAGAAGCGAGGCUGCAAAGCGGAGCAGAUCUCAAAAAAGCGGUCUCAGUUCGGAUUGUGGGCUGCAACCCGCCCACAUGAAGUCGGAGUUGCUAGUAAUCGCGGAUCAGCAUGCCGCGGUGAAUACGUUCCCGGGCCUUGCACACACCGCCCGUCA
rnacentral:rRNA from 1 species